CGCUGGCGGCACGCCUAACACAUGCAAGUCGAACGAAGUAGCAAUACUUAGUGGCAGACGGGUGAGUAACAUGUAGGUAUCUGCCCUUUGGCCUGGAAUAACACGAGGAAACUUGUGCUAAUACCGGAUAAGUCUUUACGGAGAAAGCUUUAUGCACCAUUGGAUGAGCCUGCACUUGAUUAGUUUGUUGGUGGGGUAAUGGCCUACCAAGACUGUGAUCAAUAGCUGAUUUGAGAGGAUGAUCAGCCACAUUGGGACUGAGACACGGCCCAAACUCCUACGGGAGGCAGCAGUGGGGAAUCUUGCACAAUGGAGGAAACUCUGAUGCAGCGAUGCCGCGUGAGUGAAGAAGGCCUUUGGGUUGUAAAGCUCUUUCGUCGGGGAAGAAAAUGACUGUACCCGAAUAAGAAGGUCCGGCUAACUUCGUGCCAGCAGCCGCGGUAAUACGAAGGGACCUAGCGUAGUUCGGAAUUACUGGGCUUAAAGAGUUCGUAGGUGGUUGAAAAAGUUGGUGGUGAAAUCCCAGAGCUUAACUCUGGAACUGCCAUCAAAACUUUUCAGCUAGAGUAUGAUAGAGGAAAGCAGAAUUUCUAGUGUAGAGGUGAAAUUCGUAGAUAUUAGAAAGAAUACCAAUUGCGAAGGCAGCUUUCUGGAUCAUUACUGACACUGAGGAACGAAAGCAUGGGUAGCGAAGAGGAUUAGAUACCCUCGUAGUCCAUGCCGUAAACGAUGUGUGUUAGACGUUGGAAAUUUAUUUUCAGUGUCGCAGCGAAAGCGAUAAACACACCGCCUGGGGAGUACG
rnacentral:rRNA from 1 species